GUGCCAGCCGCCGCGGUAAUACGGAGGGUGCAAGCGUUAAUCGGAAUUACUGGGCGUAAAGCGCGCGUAGGCGGUUUGUUAAGUCGGAUGUGAAAGCCCCGGGCUCAACCUGGGAAUUGCAUUCGAUACUGGCCGACUAGAGUACGAGAGAGGGAGGUAGAAUUCCACGUGUAGCGGUGAAAUGCGUAGAUAUGUGGAGGAAUACCGGUGGCGAAGGCGGCCUCCUGGCUCGAUACUGACGCUGAGGUGCGAAAGCGUGGGUAGCAAACAGGAUUAGAAACCCCUGUAGUCC
rnacentral:rRNA from 1 species